UUAACUUCAACAAAACUAUAUAUAUUAAAAAAAAAAACACUUUGAAAGAUAUACAUAAGUAUUUUAUUAAUAUCAUCUAUUCAGCAAAAAAUCCUCUCCAACAACAAGUCACAUGCAUAUUAUCAAAUCAUACUAACAUACAUGCCAACUUUCCCGAUUUAGGCGGGAUCUUCCCGAUUUUACCCUCCGGUCCCGCUUUCCCGAUCGGGAAAGCAAAAUUACCCUAAAAUCCCGAUUUGAAAUUUUUUCCGACCAAAAUUUCCGAUUUCACGAUUGAAAACGAGUUUGAAAGCGGGAAAAUCGUGAAAUUGGAAAUCCCGCGUCAUUUCUGAACUGGCCAAUCAGAAAUCGGGACAAUAGUCAGCCAUUGCUGUUUACCUGUGUCGCAUGGUGUCGGGUUGGUCUGCCUGUGUCGGGGUGUUUAUUGGACAGUACGAUGCAUGUUUUGAUAGUAAUUAAUCAGGAAGACGGAUUUCAAAUUGACCUAUCCUUUACACAAACGUGAAUGACAACGAUGCUAGUGUCACCACCAAACAAUCGGACAUUCCGCCUCUCGCUGACAGCAUCCAAAAUUUGCAAUAAGAUGUCAUGGGUGCAAAGGUUUUGUUCGCAAACUUCAUAGCAGGGCAGAUCACUCCUUUUUUGGUUGCAAUGCAGAUUAUUCCACCAGUCUCUGCAAGCCCAUGUUUACAGACAAGCAAGAUCGCCUUUGCAGUCGUACCUAAAUGCAUGUGCUUUAAUUUAAAUUUUGAUAUAUAGACCGGCCAAUGUUUAUUGUAUGGUGUAAAAGGAUGCAACCUUAAAUAUUAUUUGAUAUUAUGUAUGUGACUUGUUGGAGAAGAUUUUUUGCUGAAUAGAUGAUUUUAAUAAAAUAUUAAUGUAUAUC